rnacentral:ncRNA from 2 species
UCAAUAAGAUCGAUUACAGGUAAUUCUCCCGCAAAAAUGCGGGCGAUAAAAGGGAAUCCAUGUUUCGCAGACACACGAGACAAGGAGCGGACCCACCGCUGUAACCGGGAACGAACAUCACAAUGCCACUGCCUAUCCUAAUAAGGCGGGAAGGGGUGACCAGUAGAAUGAUCCGGAAGCCAGAAGACCUGCCUGUAGUUGCUUCACGUU